UAAAAAAAAAUGUAAUUUGAAAUUGGAGGAGAGUUUUGGAAAAUAUUUUCCUUAAUUUUUGAAGGGAAGUCAUUUUCCUUAAUUUUGAGGAAAAUGAGUUGAUUUUGAAAACAUUUUUCAGAACUUUUGUCCCAAUCAAACAUGGAAAAAUUGGAAAACAUUUUCCAAAAAAAAUUUUCCGUCAUACCAAACACACUCUUGAUCUAACUUUAAUUUAGGACUAGAAGAUUCAAAAGUCUUCUUUUUAUUCUUAAAUUUUGUGGCAAGUCAAACUAGGUCAUUUUUUGUGAAACGAAGGGAGUAUUUAAUUUACUAUCGGGUUAUCAAUUAACUCGUUAAGAAAAAAUCUCAAACCCUUAAGAACCAAUAAGUCGAUUAAAAAAAGUCAAAACCUUUAUUAAAAUCACUAAAUCAAUUACCCAAUACUGAUAAAUCAAUAAAAAAUAUUCAGUUUGGGUUAUCGAUUUCGAUUCAAUUUUGAACAAUCCUAUAAAAAUGGGCUAACCGUUGGUCUCUGGUGCAUUGGGAAGUAUAUUGAGUAUCUUUCACUAUAGUGAAACUUCAAUAAAUUAAUACUCAGUCAAUUAAUAAUCUUUCUAAGAUAAUAAUUUUCUUCGGUCUCAACUUGGGCCAAUGAAAAAAAUCACUCAUUUCGAUAAGAUAAUACAUUUUGAGAAGACCUCUAUAUAAAUAUAUAUGGUCUCAUCGAUAUUAUAAAUUAAUAAUACUUUAAAAGUGCAAGUAUCUUUAAGAAAAUUUAGUGAAAUGUGAUUCUAUGUACUUUUUUUUUUUUUUGGUUGAAAUUCAAAUUUAGUUGAAACUCAUCUUUUAACUUUUCUUAUUGCAUCCAAAAGUUCUGGUGGUCUUUUCUAAUUGCACCAUAAAAUUGUGAAGAGUUCUAGUUGCAAGUGUUUCUUUACGCGUAACUGGCAAUUGGUUUCAAAGUAACCGAGAUCAUUAAUCAUGUCAUCAAGUUCAUGAAUGACGUAUCACAAGUGGGUUCUUUCAAAUUCUUUGAGCACCGGAUGUCGUAUCGCACAUGGUGUUCACAUCCCCAUUACUACCCUGGCCUUGAUCCACAUCAAUUUUUCCUCAGUUUCCCAUGUUCAAGCAAGGGUCAAGCCACCACAUUUGAUCCUCGACCAGUUAAACAAAGUCCUCUUCUCCCUCUUCCUUUUGAUCUCCAAGUUCAUAGGCAAAAGCUUAUGUCAAGUGGUGAGAUUCUCACUCGGAAUAACCUUGCAGUCCUUUAUAAAGGUCUCUAGCCAACUUCCUAAGGAGUAUAUGAUCUAUUUGCGUCUUAACCAUCACAUUACGAAAGAUAGUCAGGUCUUUUUUCCAAAAGUUUGAAUCAUCAAUCAACUCAAAAGCUCUAGUGAAAUCCAAAAAUGACGCAACACCUUCAUUUAUAUCCCCAAAAUCAAAGGCUCCAUGCACAUCGUCAAACCACUAAAAGUUGUCCUGACAUGAUUAUUGAAAUCGCAUCCCAAAAGCUUCUCGAAUGAGUUGGGAAUGAUCAACUUAUGAAAAUGAUCAAUUUAUAGCUUUUGGUUGAUUUUGACUCAUAAGCACUUGAUGUGCAAGCACUUUAGCUAUUUAUCAAAUGUGUAAAUGUAGAUAAUUAAGCCAAACACUAUCUAUUAUUAUUGAAAAGGUGGUCAAACUUCGAACAAAGUAGCAAGUAAAAGGAUGGUCCUUUUGGUGA